rnacentral:rRNA from 1 species
GUGUGGACGACGUCAAGUCAUCAUGGCCCUUAUGCCCAGGGCGACACACGUGCUACAAUGGCAUAUACAAUGAGACGCAAUACCGCGAGGUGGAGCAAAUCUAUAAAAUAUGUCCCAGUUCGGAUUGUUCUCUGCAACUCGAGAGCAUGAAGCCGGAAUCGCUAGUAAUCGUAGAUCAGCCAUGCUACGGUGAAUACGUUCCCGGGUCUUGUACUCACCGCCCGUCACACCAUGGGAGUUGAUUUCACUCGAAGCCGGAAUACUAAACUAGUUACCGUCCACAGUGGAAUCAGCGACUGGGGUGAAGUCGUAACAAGGUAACCGUAGGAGAACCUGCGGUUGGAUCACCUCCUUUCUAG